UUUUGACACAAAACCCACCUAAUCUCAUAGGUUAUAGCCAACAAUUUUGUGGGUGGGAGGUAGUUGUAGAGAUGUAGAUGUCAAAAAUAUAGGCUAGGUAAAUAGAUAAAAUCAAUUCCCAUGAUAUAUUUUUAAUAUUAUUAUUUUGCUUUCUAUUAAACACACUAAUUACAAAAAGAGCGGAAUCGUACGCGAUAUACCUGGCAACCAAUCAUCUAAACCGUCAGCCUGCACUCAUUUUCCAAUUCAUUUUCUGAGCCUUUGAGGAUGAACAAGACCAACGAGAACCAUUCAGGUAAAAAUCCUUGGUGAAGUCACCAGAUAUGGAUGGUGUCCAUGUAACUUCAAAACUGCCGUUGGCCUUCGUACACAUAUGUAUCGUAACCAUGCAGUGAUUACACCAAGUGCUGACAAAUCACACAGUGGUGUUAAUAUGACAUGCCAGGUUAUGGAAUGUUCUUUCACUUCCACAUCUGGGGAUGCAUGGUGAAACGAAUAUCUCUGUGUAGGUCUAUGCAGUGUUGAAUAUGUUUUUCAUUUCUUUCAGCGUGUAUGUUGUUCGACAUUGCAGCGUGCUGAUGAGUUAAUAAAGAGGCAGCAAAAACCUGGGAUCUGCAUUGGCCCUGUCAAGUCUGGAGAGUGUUUUUACCAUUUAAUGAAUUCAAUUGUAAUAAAAGUUUUUAAAUGGA